ACGCCCGUUUCUCAGCUGUCAGACGGUACCGUUCGACGUACGUUGCGAAGGACUUCGACUAUUGAAGGAAGAUGGAGAAGAUGGACCAUCAGUGUCACUCUGUGACUGAAGAAGAUUAUUAUGAAUGGCUACUGACGGGAGAUCUACCACUGGUCCUAACCUUCAAGCCUCCUCCGAAGACCCUCUUUUUGCGGAUCGGCGAUCAGCUGACCACCUGUCGUUGCAGUGGACUCUAGUCGAGAAACCCUAGCCAUUGGUUAGACUCGAGCCUUCGUCGGUAUUUGGGCUGUCUUCCCUCCUACGAAACCAAAGCUGGAACUUAAUUCAUGUGUAACCUCUCACGAGAAAUAAAAAAAGGUUGUGUAUA